rnacentral:rRNA from 1 species
CCCGGCACAAGCGGAGGAGCAUGUGGUUUUAAUUCGUAUGAUACGCGGAGAACCGUUACCUGGGCGUCGAACGUAAGAUGACUGUAGUGAAAGCUUACAUCUCUUCGGAGCAUUUUACGAGGUGCUGCAUGGUUGUCGUCAGCUCGUGCCGUGAGGUGUCGGGUUAAGUCCCAUAACGAGCGCAACCCUUGUCCUUAGUUACCAGCACGUUAUGGUGGGCACUCUAAGGAGACUGCCGGUGACAAACCGGAGGAAGGUGGGGAUGACGUCAAGUCAUCAUGGCCCUUACGGCCUGGGCUACACACGUGCUACAAUGGUCGGUACAAAGGGUUGCCAAGCCGCGAGGUGGAGCUAAUCCCAUAAAACCGAUCGUAGUCCGGAUCGCAGUCUGCAACUCGACUGCGUGAAGUCGGAAUCGCUAGUAAUCGUGAAUCAGAAUGUCACGGUGAAUACGUUCCCGGGCCUU